GACAGAGGAUGCAAGCGUUAUCCGGAAUCACUGGGCGUAAAGCGUCUGUAGGUGGUUUAAAAAGUCUACUGUUAAAAUUGAAGUACUUAACUUCAAAGAUGACCGUAGAAACUUUUAAACUCGAAGGAUGGUAGGGGUAGAAGGGAAUUUCCAGUGGAGCGGUGGAAAUGCGUAGAUCUUGGAAAGACCACCAAUGGCGAAGGCACUCUACUGGGCCAUUACUGACACUAAGAGACGAAAGCUAGGGGAGCAAAUGGG
rnacentral:rRNA from 1 species